UACGUAGGCAGCGAGCGUUGUUCGGAGUUACUGGGCGUAAAGCGUGCGUAGGCGGCGUCUUAAGUUUUUUGUGAAAUCUCCCGGCUUAACCGGGAGGGUGCGGCGAAUACUGAGAUGCUGGAGUGCCGGAGAGGUAAGCGGAAUUCCUGGUGUAGCGGUGAAAUGCGUAGAUAUCAGGAGGAACACCUGCGGUGUAGACGGCUUACUGGACGGUAACUGACGCUGAGGCACGAAAGCGUGGGUAGCAAACAGG
rnacentral:rRNA from 1 species